rnacentral:rRNA from 1 species
UGUCAAAUCAUCAUGCCCUUUAUGUCCUGGGCUACACACGUACUACAAUGGCCGGUUACAAUGGGUCGCCAAGCCGCGAGGCGGAGCUAAUCCCCAAAACCGGUCCCAGUUCAGAUUGCAGGCUGCAACUCGCCUGCAUGAAGUUGGAAUUGCUAGUAAUCGCGGAUCAGCAUGCCGCGGUGAAUACGUUCCCGGGCCUU